rnacentral:rRNA from 1 species
CCUACGGGAGGCAGCAGUGGGGAAUUUUGGACAAUGGGCGCAAGCCUGAUCCAGCAAUGCCGCGUGAGUGAAGAAGGCCUUCGGGUUGUAAAGCUCUUUUGUCAGGGAAGAAACGGCUGAGGUUAAUACCUUUGGCUAAUGACGGUACCUGAAGAAUAAGCACCGGCUAACUACGUGCCAGCAGCCGCGGUAAUACGUAGGGUGCAAGCGUUAAUCGGAAUUACUGGGCGUAAAGCGUGCGCAGGCGGUUUUGUAAGUCUGACGUGAAAUCCCCGGGCUCAACCUGGGAAUUGCGUUGGAGACUGCAAGGCUGGAGUCUGGCAGAGGGGGGUAGAAUUCCACGUGUAGCAGUGAAAUGCGUAGAGAUGUGGAGGAACACCGAUGGCGAAGGCAGCCCCCUGGGUCAAGACUGACGCUCAUGCACGAAAGCGUGGGGAGCAAACAGGAUUAGAUACCCUGGUAGUCCACGCCCUAAACGAUGUCUACUAGUUGUCGGGUCUUAAUUGACUUGGUAACGCAGCUAACGCGUGAAGUAGACCGCCUGGGGAUACGGUCGCAAAGNUUAAAACUCAAAANAGAGUAGACGNGNGAGAGNGCGAGACGACGACGAGGGAGGAGG